AUUGAACGCUGGCGGUAUGCUUAACACAUGCAAGUCGAACGGUAACAGCAGAAGCUUGCUUCUGGCUGACGAGUGGCGGACGGGUUAGUAACGCGUGGGAAUAUACCCUUUUCUACGGAAUAGCCUCGGGAAACUGAGAGUAAUACCGUAUACGCCCUUCGGGGGAAAGAUUUAUCGGUGAAGGAUUAGUCCGCGUAAGAUUAGAUAGUUGGUGGGGUAAUGGCCUACCAAGUCUACGAUCUUUAGCUGGUUUGAGAGGAUGAUCAGCAACACUGGGACUGAGACACUGCCCAG
rnacentral:rRNA from 1 species